UAUUACAUUUAAUGUAUCACUUACAGAAGCUUCAUAGCUCUUUCUGAGAUACUGAGGGUAUCAAAAUCAAACCACAAUGUCCAUUGAAACACAGCUGGUGUAACUGUGGGGGUGCGGGUUCUUUUGUGGGGUCCUCCAUUUCUCCCCUUUGCUAUAUCUUCUGUAAAAUGACAGCCUAAUCAACAGCCUGUAAAGAGCUGUUUUGGAAACUUUGCUCUAAAAAGCUCUACUUGAUUGUGUUUUCAUGGUGGCAUGGAGGGGGUCUGAUUCUUUCAAAACUCCAGCUGGAGAGAAGAUACAGGAAUUACAUUUGGAAGACAAAAGGGUUGAAGUUCUGUACGUCUUUUCACCUCCCACUACGGGCACUGCAACACCUGGUUUUGCUGGAUUUUUGAAGUCUAGCUGGUAAGUCCGGCCAAGAAUGCCUUCAACCUUCGUUGAGAGGCCAUAGAAUCUGAACUGCACGUCCAGGUGAGCGAAGCAGUCAUCAGAAGUUCUUUCUACCUUGAUGCCGCUUUCAGAAGAUUCCCAUAUAGAUGGAUAGCCUUCUGGUAAGCCUAACUCUUUUCCGUCAUAAUAGAAUUUCAGAUGAUCAACUUCGUCGUCCCAAGACUCUGCCUUGGUAGCCUCCACUGAGAAAGCAUGCAUGUCAAAGAGUACUCCAAGAGCUUGAAUCCAUGUGUAGUCUCGGGGUCUACCAGCAGGUCGCAAGCCAAUGAAACGAGCAUUAAUCUGGAGAUUAAGAUCUGAAACUAAGCUGAAAUGCUCAUUGCUCUUGCCAUGGAAGUAAAAGACAAUUCCGUCUCCACCAAUGAAGCGAGGAUCCAAGCAUGCUGCUCCGGGUUGAUUGCAAUUCGCCUUCCUGUCUAUCUGGAAGCAAAAUCACAUGACUUAAAAUAUUUUU